rnacentral:rRNA from 1 species
ACAGCAGCAGCCACGGUAAUACGUAGGGUGCAAGCGUUAAUCGGAAUUACUGGGCGUAAAGCGUGCGCAGGCGGUUAUAUAAGACAGAUGUGAAAUCCCCGGGCUCAACCUGGGAACUGCAUUUGUGACUGUAUAGCUAGAGUACGGCAGAGGGGGAUGGAAUUCCGCGUGUAGCAGUGAAAUGCGUAGAUAUGCGGAGGAACACCGAUGGCGAAGGCAAUCCCCUGGGCCUGUACUGACGCUCAUGCACGAAAGCGUGGGGAGCAAACAGGAUUAGAUACCCCCGUAGUCCCUGUCUCUUAUAU